AGGUGGGAAAACUGGAAAGAUUGAAUGUCCUUUGGAGUUCACAGAGGUUUGGCAGUGGGAGGAGAAAAACAAAACGAAGCAUAGUGGGAGUGUUGAACAGACUUUCCCAAGAUCCCCAGAUCCUGAAAUUCAAGAAAAUAUUUGUCAAAGUAUUAGCUGAGUGCAAGCUAAGGUAUCAAAAUAGUGAAUACACACACCAAGGAAUAAUCUUUGCAAAAAUACUUUGUCUCAAGACAAAUAGAACACAGCAGACUUUAAUAAUCAAAACAGAAACACCAACAUAGAGAACCUAAGGAACGAAGAGAAUCUGAUUUCCAAAGUCACCACAUUAUAAAAAUCAAAUGCCAAUCUUCAACAACAACGAAAACAACAAAAUUCACAAGACACAUAAAGAAACAGGAAAAUGGCUCAUUCAAAGGAAUAAAGUGAUUAAUUGGCAUAAACUGUCCCUGAGAAAGCCCAGAUACUAAAGUGACUUGACAUUUGCUCAACUAGAUAAGAGUGAGUUUCGACAAAGAAGUAAAGGAAAUUUGGAACAUAAUAUUUUAUCUAAAGGAGAAUAUCAUCAAACAAAGAAAUUAUAUAAAAGAACCACACAAAAAUUCUGGAGCUGAAAAGUACAGCAACUGAAGUUUUUAAAAUUACUUGCAGAGAUCAACAACGGAUUUGCAGAUUAGUGAACUCGAAGAUAGGAAAAUUGAAAUUAUUGAGUCUGAGGAGCAGAAGAGAAAAAGGAAUGAAUAAAAGUGAAUAGAACCUAAGGAAACUGAGGGACACCAUCAAGCAGAUCAAGGAGAAGAGAGAGGUAAAAAAGAGUGGUAAGAUAAAUAAUAGCCAAAUACCUUCCAAAUAUGAAGAAAGACAUGAAUAUACAGAUAAAAUAAGCCCAGCAAUACCAAAUUGGAUAAACCCAAAAACAUCUACACCAAAGCACAUUAUAAUCAAAUUGUUGAAAGCCAAACAAUGACAGAAUCUUAAAAGCAAUAACAGCAAGGCAAUUCAACAAAAUAAAAGGGAUGUUCAAUACAAGUAUCAGCCAAUUUCUCAUCAGAAGCCUGGAGGCAAGAAGGCAGAGAAAUAAUAUAUUUAAAGUGCUGAAAAAAGCCAGGCACGGUGACUCAUGCCUGUAAUCCCUGCACUUUGGGAGUCUGAGAUGGGUGAAUCACUUGAGUCAGGAGUUUGAGACCAGCCUGGCAACCAUGGCAAAACUCUGUCUCUACUAAAGAUAGAAAAAUUAGUCGGGUGCAGUGGCAUGCACCUGUAGUCCCAGCUACUUGGGAGGCUGAGGCAGGAGAAUCACUUGAAUCUGGGAGGCAGAGGUUGCAGUGAGCUGAGAUCAUACCACUGCACUCCAGCCUGGGCAACAGAGUGAGACUCC
rnacentral:lncRNA from 1 species